UACGUAGGGGGCAAGCGUUGUCCGGAAUCAUUGGGCGUAAAGAGCGUGUAGGCGGCCCGGUAAGUCUGGUGUGAAAUCUUGGGGCUCAACCCCAAGCUGUCACUGGAUACUGUCGGGCUUGAGUCCGGAAGAGGAGAGUGGAAUUCCUGGUGUAGCGGUGGAAUGCGCAGAUAUCAGGAGGAACACCUAUGGCGAAGGCCGCUCUCUGGUACGUGACUGACGCUGAGACGCGAAGGCGUGGGUAGCAAACAGG
rnacentral:rRNA from 1 species